rnacentral:rRNA from 1 species
AAGCAGGGGAUCGUAAGACCUUGCGCUUUUGGAGCGGCCGAUGCCUGAUUAGCUAGUUGGUGGGGUAAAGGCCUACCAAGGCGACGAUCAGUAGUUGGUCUGAGAGGACGACCAGCCACACUGGGACUGAGACACGGCCCAGACUCCUACGGGAGGCAGCAGUGGGGAAUUUUGGACAAUGGGCGAAAGCCUGAUCCAGCAAUGCCGCGUGAGUGAAGAAGGCCUUCGGGUUGUAAAGCUCUUUCAGUCGAGAAGAAAAGGUUGUGACUAAUAAUCACAACUCAUGACGGUAUCGACAGAAGAAGCACCGGCUAACUACGUGCCAGCAGCCGCGGUAAUACGUAGGGUGCGAGCGUUAAUCGGAAUUACUGGGCGUAAAGGGUGCGCAGGCGGCUUUGUAAGUCAGAUGUGAAAUCCCCGGGCUUAACCUGGGAAUUGCGUUUGAAACUACAAAGCUAGAGU